UGGAUGAAUGAAUGAAUGAAUGAAUGAAUGAAUGAAUGAAUGAAUUGAAUGAGCCUCGUUAGUCCCACCAAGAGCACUUCUUGAUGUCAACACAAACUCAUCUUUUGCCUUGUGUUUUCCCCCUAGGGCCACCCAGCGAACUCAUUGACAAAGAUUUUAAGUCCAACUAUCCACAUGAGAAUCUUGCUACAAGCUGCCUCAUCUCCUCUUCUCCCCUCCAAGAGGCAUGUUCACUGCCCCAUUAUCCAGUUAUCUGACUUGGUUUUAGGCCUUAUUCCAGGUGGUUCCAAGCUCCUGGAACACCUGACCUACUAUGAUCCCAUCUCAUCAAUUCUGCUGCCUCUUGAGGUAGAUCCUUUAUAAUGUGAUUAGACUUAGUCCAGUGAUGCCAUCUUUCCCCAGAAAUACUUUAGAAACACCUCUUUUAGGACUUUCAGAACCAGUUAUGAUGAUUUAGUGCUCCUGUUUGUAUCUGGCCAAAAACAGUUUGGCCUCAUCGGACUUGAGGCCAAAUAAUUUCGGCUAUUUCCGAAACGUAGAUCCCGCCUCAAGGACCAAAGUUGUUCAUUACUCUAAUUAUCUAUUUAAUGUUUCUCUCUCAGAUAGACUUAAAAAAGUGGCGGCAGACUACGUUUGUGUUGUUGACUGCACUACCCCAAGCACAGAGCCCGAUGUGCUGCAGGGGUGAAACUAAUGAGUGAGUGAAUAAAUGAAUGAUCUGAAGACCUUCCCAAAAGAUUUUUCUUUGAUUCAAUGAACACAUGCCUGACACUGCUGGGGGUUGAGAAUAUGGAGAUGAAUAAGAAAAAAAAAUUAUUUUCUUUAAAGAGCUUAAAGUCUGGAAGAGAAAAAAACUUACGGAAAAGGGAAAAAUAUUUAUUGUCAAGUCUUAUGGAGCACGCACAUAUAUUAUUUCAUUUAAGUGCCUCAGCAAUCAAAUAAGUGUGAGAUUUUGAUCCCCAUUUUAAAGACUAAAAAGUUGGAAUUCGACAGUGUUACACAACUUGCGUAAUAUUAAUAAGUGACAAGCCGGUCUUUGAACCCAGAGCCUAUGAACUAAGGACCUUUCUUCCAUGACACCAAGCAACGGCUGUGCAAUUCAAGCAAAUGUUUUGGCUUUUAAGCGACUACUUCUGAAAGCCUGAAGGAGAUGACACGUAAAUAGCUAUCUAAGUGCAGAUGAUGAAAGCCAGCCUCGUCAAACUUAAAGAAUGUUCCUUCCCAUGCCAUACAACAAACGGUGCGAGAACUCGAACCAAGAGCCAGAAAAAGUGGUAGAGAGAAAUUAACUGCCCCUGUGAAUCAGCAAAAAACCAAGGGAUGGGACCCACGACAGCUAGUCUUCCUGCUUUAACCCACACAUCUGGCACACCACUGGGAAAAUGGUUAUUUGUUCACUACAAGGAAGAUGACCUUUAACUUCAAGCAUGUAAAGUAAAAAAAAAAAAAAAAAAAAAAA